rnacentral:rRNA from 1 species
UGGGGAAUAUUGGACAAUGGGCGAAAGCCUGAUCCAGCCAUGCCGCGUGUGUGAAGAUGGUCUUCGGAUUGUAAAGCACUUUAAGUUGGGAGGAAGGGCAGUUACCUAGUACGUGAUUGUCUUGACGUUACCGACAGAAUAAGCACCGGCUAACUCUGUGCCAGCAGCCGCGGUAAUACAGAGGGUGCAAGCGUUAAUCGGAAUUACUGGGCGUAAAGCGCGCGUAGGUGGUUUGUUAAGUUGGAUGUGAAAUCCCCGGGCUCAACCUGGGAACUGCAUCCAAAACUGGCAGGCUAGAGUAUGGUAGAGGGUGGUGGAAUUUCCUGUGUAGCGGUGAAAUGCGUAGAUAUAGGAAGGAACACCAGUGGCGAAGGCGACCACCUGGACUAAUACUGACACUGAGGUGCGAUAGCGUGGGGAGCAAAACAGGAUUAGAUACCCUGGUAGUCCACGCCGUAAACGAUGUCAACUAGCCGUUGGGAGCCUUGAGCUCUUAGUGGCGCAGCUAACGCAUUAAGUUGACCGCCUGGGGAGUACGGCCGCAAGGUUAAAAGCUUAAAGG